GACGAACGCUGGCGGCGUGCCUAAUACAUGCAAGUCGAACGCAGUGGGGACUGGUGAGUAACACGUGGGUAACCUCCCCUCAGAGGGGAUAACACUUGGACACAGGUGCUAAACCGAUACUGAUGGAUGGACCCGCGGUGCAUUAGCUAGUUGGUGAGGUAACGGCUCACCAAGGCCACGAUGCAUAGCCGGCCUGAGAGGGUGAUCAGCCACACUGGGACUGAGACACGGCCCAGACUCCUACGGGAGGCAGCAGUGGGGAAUAUUGGGCAAUGGGCGAAAGGCUGACCGAGCAAUGCCGCGUGAGUGAAGAAGGUUUUCGGAUCGUAAAGCUCUGUUGUUAGGGAAGCGGUAACUAACCAAAAAGCCACGGCUAACUACGUGCCAGCAGCCGCGGUAAUAC
rnacentral:rRNA from 1 species